GCGGCUGGCUUUGACCCACUGGUAAAUUUUCCUGCACCUCCUUGCCUUCCCAUUUUCCCCUCCACCCCACCACACCCCCACGCGGCCCCCCCUCCCCCCGCGAGAGUUCCCCGAACAAAAGGGAAAAAAGAUUAGAAAGGAGAAAGCAAAAUUCAGAUGUUGUGUGCUUAUGAGUCAACUUUUUUUAGUUGUGGUCUGCUUGUUUCCCUAUAUGCUUGUUGGCAAUAAUUGUUGGGAUUACUAUUUUGCAUGCUAUGUGUUGUUCCUAAUACAUCACUAAUGCCCGUGUUUUGCUGUGUGCUUGUUCUUCAG
rnacentral:misc_RNA from 1 species